rnacentral:rRNA from 1 species
AGUAAUGUCUGGGAAACUGCCUGAUGGAGGGGGAUAACUACUGGAAACGGUAGCUAAUACCGCAUAAUGUCGCAAGACCAAAGUGGGGGACCUUCGGGCCUCACGCCAUCAGAUGUGCCCAGAUGGGAUUAGCUAGUAGGUGGGGUAACGGCUCACCUAGGCGACGAUCCCUAGCUGGUCUGAGAGGAUGACCAGCCACACUGGAACUGAGACACGGUCCAG